rnacentral:lncRNA from 1 species
UCCUAUCCCUCUUGGAGGACCGCCGUGAUGCACCAUAGAGACGCGGUACCAUAGAGGCGAGGCAGGAAGUGAGGGUAGAAGGGCCCGGAAGUGGGCGCCUACCAUAGAGACGGCCAUAGGGAAGCAUGGGGGGCAAAAAGCAGAGCGGCCCCUGGAGGACUUGUCCUGCAGCCUUUAUUCCGCCUAUGUACAAUUAAGCUCUUACAAAUGUUUACACUAUUUACAAAUUAAAUAAUUAGGGGGGGAGGGGGCCGGGGGGGGAACGGGGGCGGGCUUUGGGGCGAAAAGGAGGGGGUUUGGGGUCAAAGGGGGGCGGGUUUGGGGCGAAAAGGAGGGGUUUUAGGGGCAAAAAGGGGUUUUGGGGUGAAAAAGGGAGAUUUUGGGGGCGGGAGUAGGAGCUUAGGGUCAAAGGGAGGGGUUUUAGGGUGAAGAGGAGGGGAUCGGGGUCAAAACAGGGCGUUUUGGGUGUCAAAUGAAAGGGGUUGGGGUCAAAAAAAAGUCUGGGGGUAAAAAAGGAAAGAUUUUAGGGUCACAAAGAUUUCAGGGUCCCAAAGAAGGGAUUUGGGGUCAAAAGAAAGGCUUUAGGGUCAAAAGGAAGGAUUUUGGGGUGAAAAGGGGUGUUUUCGGGGCCAGCUGCCCCCCUUUGCAGCCCCCCUCCUUUGCUCCCCUUUCCAAACCCGCCCCGAAACGAAGGAAAACCCCGAGGAACCCACCCCAAAAAAUCCUCGGCCGGCCGCAGCUCCGCGCUUUGCCCUCCAAAUUUAAAAAAACAAAAAAUGAUAAAAAGCUCGAUUCCCGCCUCGUUAUUGCCCAAUUUCGCCUAAAGCAGCCCAAAUUUCCACCCCAGGGCCCCCCCCCCGGCCGCCCCCGAUUUUCCCUGAGAUUUUGGGGCUCCUGGAAGCCCGCUGGGUUCGAAGAGGCACUGAAGGGUGAGGGCCAACGGGGUUUGGGGCCGGGGUCGCCUUCCCGUGGGGAAAAUGGGGUGAAAACCCCGCAUUUUGGGGCCAGGAAGGGGCUGUCCGGAGGAUAAAGGGUUAAUACUGCAAGGAGGGGGGCCGAGGGCACCCCAAAAUCCCAAAUGGCUCAAAGCUUCAGGGUCUGACCCAAAAACCGAAGCGGGUUGGGGGGGGUGAGAGCCGCCGGGGAUGACCCGAGAAGGAAAUUGGGUUAAAACCACGAGGUUUUGAGCAAUUUCAAGCGGGGACGGCGUUUUCAGAACCCAACCCCGUUCCCAAAUCCGCCGCCGGAGGUAGAGAAAAAACGGGGUGAAAAAGG